CCGUCGAUAGUUCAGUUGGUAGAGCGGUGGACUGUAGAUCCAUAGGUCGCUGGUUCGAAUCCGGCUCGACGGA
rnacentral:tRNA from 1 species